GACGAACGCUGGCGGCGUGCCUAACACAUGCAAGUCGAGCGGACUGAUUAAGAGCUUGCUCUUAUGACGUUAGCGGCGGACGGGUGAGUAACACGUGGGCAACCUGCCCUGUAGAUCGGGAUAACACCGAGAAAUCGGUGCUAAUACCGGGUAAUAUCUGAGAUCACAUGAUCUUAGGUUAAAAGAUGGCUCCGGCUAUCACUACAGGAUGGGCCCGCGGCGCAUUAGCUAGUUGGUAAGGUAAUGGCUUACCAAGGCGACGAUGCGUAGCCGACCUGAGAGGGUGAUCGGCCACACUGGGACUGAGACACGGCCCAGACUCCUACGGGAGGCAGCAGUAGGGAAUCUUCCGCAAUGGACGAAAGUCUGACGGAGCAACGCCGCGUGAGUGAUGAAGGGUUUCGGCUCGUAAAGCUCUGUUGUUAGGGAAGAAACAGUACCGAACGAACUAGGUCGGUACCCUGACGGUACCUAACCAGAAAGCCACGGCUAACUACGUG
rnacentral:rRNA from 1 species